UUUUCUAAAAGAUGUAACUUAAUAUAUGGCUUGAAAUUGAAUCUUGAGAACUGCCUAUAUUUAGGAGGUGCAGUAGAAGGAUGUGGGGCUAAAAUGAUAGAGAAAAUUUAGAAGAUCAAAAGAGGAUCCAGAUGGCAAAUAUGGCAGAGACCAAGGAAACUCUCUUCCAGACAACCCAUGCAUUCCCCAUCAUGUUCCCAAACUUACCUGAAUAUGCAACCUGUGAAGAUCUAUCAUUUAAAGUUUUCCUCCCCCACAGUUCUGAUUCUCAACAAUUGAGCCGAAAAGUUGAGAUUUAUGUUUUAUUCGGAGGGAAUUUUUAAGACUUCAAUUCUGGGAUACAGCAUCUCAAGUAACCCUGAGAGAAUUCCUCUGAGGAGGUGAGUGGGGAGCCAGGGUACAUAGAAGUUUUGCAUCACAGGACAGAUAGUCUGAAUGUCAGAUGAUUAUUGUUCUUUUUAUUUCAAUCAAUAGUCAUUUAUUAAUU